ACGUAUCACGUUGAAACACCGGUUCCCGUACGAUUACCGAAGUUAAGAAACAUCGAGCCUGGUCAGUACCUAGAUGGGUAACCAUUUGGGAACACCAGGUGCUGUAAG